GGCUACGCGACUGGUUCUGCCCUCUCGAAGUGGAACAGAUACCUCCGAGAUCAAAGGCAGAUAUUGCAUUAUUCUCACUCAUAUGCUGUGCUGCUGAUAAACAUGAUAUAAUUUCAGUUAUGUUGCUUUUAUAUGAAUAUAAAUAUGAUGAACAAGACACUAAAAGUGCUUGCUAUUUAAUUCCAUAUGAAAGGCGUAUUUAUCAUCCAUUUUUAUUUUAAUUCAAACAUAUUUUAGAAUUUUAUAGAAACUAUGACAACAUCACAUCUCGCACAGAGAUCGCACUGUCAUAGUGUUUGGGAAUAUUCAUGCACAAUUUAAAUACAUAAUAGCAUGAAAUCAGAUUAAAAAAAUAAAACAUUUUUGAAGAGAAUGCAGCAUCAGGGUUGUCUGAACCAAUGAGCAUUAAGCUGUGUCGUCAGUCAGUCGUUUCCCAUCAUGCUUUUGAUCAGCACAGUCCGUGGAGAGCAACUCGAUCCUACACAGCCGCCUCGCCGUCGCGACAGUUUUUUGGUACACGUCAGCAUGACAUCAGAGCAAGUCGGACUUAACUCGGACACUUUUCGAACCGGCAUGCAUCUCGCGGUGAUCGGUUCUGCGCAGAUUUUUCUCAUCUCAAACAAGCCUAAUACCACCGCGAUAGAUUCUAUAUGUAACUGACUUUAUUCUGCCUUGAGGACACUUUAUAAAACCUACAGGAUGGGACUCAAUGGCCUUCACUAACAUGACGCAGUUUGAAAUUCAAACAGUAACGGUCAUCGGACAGACUGAUGGAUGAGUGCUAAGCCAAAGAUAAGCUUUAUAAAUCAACUUUUAUUCGUCGUUUUGUCCAUGCAGUGUUAAAUUUCACUUUAAAUUUAUAUUGUUCUGUGUUAAUAAGUUUUCAAAUUCCCCUCCUUGUUGUCCCUGUUGGUUUAUUUGUGCAUGAGGUGGUUCAAGAAACAGUCUGAGGGCAAUUCAUGAAGUCAGUUCUAGUUCCAACUGCUACUGUACAUCAGACUCUGCUGUAUAUGGAUAUGGCUCUAUAUGUAUAUGUGUGUAACGUUACUUUUCAUCAUUGGGCAUGCAGAUAUUAUUCAGGCAUAUGCUAAGAACACGCUUAAGUAGAAGUGUCAAUGACGGGACUGUUCAAUGGAUUAUGCAUUCUUUUGUGUGGUUGAAUUGUGCCUGCCGGACCCAGUCUGUAUCCAGAUCAGAUGGUCACUGCAGUCACCCGGAUCCAGUCCGUAUCCAGAUCAGAUGGUGGAGACAAACUCUAUAGCCCUGAAUGUCAGCAGAGACCAUGUCAACUAGAUGAGCCCCAAAGACAGAUCCCCAGUGAAGGCCUCAUCACCUAUACGGCCAUUGGCACAAAAUCUCAGCAAGGACCACGAUGAAAAACACCACAUUGGUUCAUCUGGCCAGAGGAGAACUGCCCCCCCCCCGACUGAGCCUGCUCUCUACCAAGGUUUUUCUCCAUUUCUGUCACCUUUAGCUUGCUUAUUUGGAGAGACUUAAUUUUUGGGUAUAUUAACGACUUAAUUGCAGAGACACUAUUUGAAGGGAACUGAACUGAGCUGGAUGAUGAUGACAUCACUGAAUCAACGAUGAACUGACUUUAACUGAAAUAUUGACUGUUUACUUUUGUCCUCUUUUUAUAACUGCUUUACUGCAUAACUGAAUUUGUUUGCAUUAUUGGUACAAGUUUCCUGUUUAACAAUGUAAAGCUGCUUUGACACAAUCUGAAUUGUAUGAAGUGCUAUAUAAAUAAGGGUGAGUUGACUUGCUUGUGACAAUUCUUCAUAGAAAUGUUUGUGUGCUGUCUGUUUUGAACAAUUUUGUAUUUUUGAGAAUUGUAUUAGUAGCCUUUACAUGCGUACAAUACGUUUACAUGCACAAUUUUUGGUUCAGUCGGACUGAAUUCAUUCCGAUUGAUGAAUCUGAAUGUAGUGUUUACAUGAACGCUAAAUAAAGUGAUCGGGUUGCUAUGUGGGUUUAUAUGUCACAGGCUUAAAAUCGGAAUAGAUUUUUUUUUGACAUGUGCACACUGCACAUAUAUAGAGUUUCUCACUGUUUGCACAUAACAACCACUCUCCUACACCGUUUCUUUAUUCUUUUUAACAGCAGAAUUAAUAUUUUUCCCUUUCUGGAUAAAUAUACAUAUAAACCGCAGUGCCGUGCUGCCGGGUUGCCUGUGGAUGAGAGUCCGAAACAAGGACUGGUGGGAGGUUGUCCUGCUCCACUUCACAACUGACGAGUGAAAGUUGAGUUUUAUAAUGACACGUAUUUAUACACACUUUAUUCAAAAGGAUGAAUCGCUCUUCCGCUCGUCAUACGUCAUUACGCUAUUUCUGCGUCAUUGCACAUGCACA